rnacentral:rRNA from 1 species
GACGUAGGGAGCGAGCGUUGUCCGGAUUCAUUGGGCGUAAAGCGCGCGUAGGCGGUUUGGUAAGUCGGAUGUGAAAUCCCGAGGCUCAACCUCGGGACUGCAUCCGAUACUGCCCGACUAGAGGUAGGUAGGGGAGAUCGGAAUUCCUGGCGUAGCGGUGAAAUGCGCAGAUAUCUGGAGGAACACCGGUGGCGAAGGCGACAUCCUGGACCGGCAUUGACGCUGAGGCGCGAAAGCCAGGGGAGCAAACGGG